UCCGACAGGAUGUCGGUUAAGCUAUAGGGAAGCGAGUUUUUGUAAAAAACUCGUCGUCCAACAAGGAACAGGGACGUGCCUUGUUGGACAGCG
rnacentral:sRNA from 1 species